rnacentral:lncRNA from 1 species
GAAAUAGGUUAAAGGGUGCGGCAAAGGCUUAGGAAAAGGGUAAGUGUCCUAAAACUAAAGGGAAAGGUGAUUCCUUGUGCGGCAAGGCAAGGAAAUUGGUGGGAAAGGUGCGGCUGAAUCCUAAGGACUAAGGGAAAGGGUUUUUCAAAGUCCUAAGGGAAAAGGAAAGGCUUUUACAUGGUUUAAGGAUAGGGAAACAUAGCAAGGGGAUUUGUUGCAACAAGGGAGACAAGGAGGGAACACAAAGGGGACAAGGCGCCACCUUUGUAGGGAUGCUUCAAUUUGUAUCUUUCUUUGUCUUCCAAGCUUCCAAACUGAUUUCUUAUGUCUUCUAACACCUUUCUAGCCUCAUUUGAUCUUCAAUUUCGUCCAUCCUCCUUGCUCCAUGCAUAUGCAAUCCAUUCCAAGCCCAUUUUUGCUCCUAAAAGCUCUAAAAUGCACCUUUUUGCAUACUUUGACCAUAAAACCUGAAAUUGCACGAAAAUGACUUUAAACACUAAACUAACUAAGGAAAAACAACAUAAAUGC